UACGGGGGGAGCAAGCGUUGUUCGGAUUUACUGGGCGUAAAGGGCGCGUAGGCGGCCACCGCAAGUCAGUUGUGAAAUCUCUGGGCUUAACCCAGAAAGGUCAACUGAUACUGCGGGGCUAGAGUGCAGAAGGGGCAACUGGAAUUCUCGGUGUAGCGGUGAAAUGCGUAGAUAUCAGGAGGAACACCAAUUGCUAAGGCAGCUCGCUGGAACGUAACUGACGCUGAGACGCGAAAGCGUGGGGAGCAAACAGG
rnacentral:rRNA from 1 species